AAUUUACUUCCACUUCCACUAUACCUUUCUUUUCUCUACCACUAUUCAUACUUUUCCCAAUUCUACACAAAAGUCUGAUAAAAAAACGAAGGCUGGAAGACAACACGACGACGAAAGGCAAAACCCUAUCACUCUCUACUCCGACGACCAUCUUCGUUCUGGCGACCCUCUCCGCUCUAAAGACUGUCUCCACUUUCUUCGUUCCCAGCUGCGUCCUCUCUGUUCGUCCCCCCUCCACCGGAACAUUACUACUUAACCAUUGUUUUGAGCUAUGAAAAAGUUGAGGUGCAUUCAUAAUGGAGAUUUGUCCAAAAGUUUCUUCAAUGGGUCAUUGCCUCCUAACACAACCAGCUAAGUGGAAUGGAAUACAAAUAAAAAAUAGCAAUAUAGCCUUCUAACCAUGAACCUGCAACAAGUACUACUACUAUGGCAGCAACAACAGCUCAGGAAGCUCUCUUUGGGAAAUUGAUACAGCUCGUCAUCACCAUUAUUGUCCUCCUGUCUCAUGG